ensembl:lncRNA
CUGCAAGGAGGACACAUUACUUUGGCUGCUUGUGACCUUCUGCUUCUGGGCCCCCAGCUUCAGAGGCCCUAUUUGUGCCCCUUCCCUUUCAGCAGCACUGUCAGGAUUGGGUUUCUAGGGAUGGAGGCCUCCAGACACUUUGAGCCCCCUUGCAGCUGGCACUAGCUGGCCUCUCUACCACAGGGUCUCUGGAAGCUUGGUCAGCAGCCUCAGAAGAGGGAACUUGGCUGAUGGCCCAUGAAGCUGGCGCAGAAGCCACCCUUGAGAGGCAGCCGUGAGGAGAAGCCUUGGCAGCGCCUCCAUGGGAGGGGCGCUUCCUGGUCUCUGGAAGCCGUGCUGGUUCUGCCACCUCCUGCCUGGGUUGCAAUGAGGUCUAGACAGCAAGCAGUCCCUGCAUACACAGAUCUGCCACACGGCCACCAUCGAGGAAAAGCUGGGAUUCGACUGUGGAGGAAGCCUGGAGCGUUCUCAGAGAAGGACCUCAGAGGAAUUCCUAAUUAGCAGGAGGAACCUGGCUGACAUGCUUUCAGGGCAUUUUGGGAUUCAGACUAAAGCCACUGAGGACAGUUUACAUUUUUGUGGCUCUAGUUAAUCAAAUAUUCAUCAAGCAACUCCCGUGGUCAGGCUUUAUCCGGGCCACUGUGGGGGAAUGCAAAGACGUGUUUACAUCCAUUCAUUCAGCCAGUGCCUCCAGAAGUGAGCAUGGACAUGUGUUCCCUACCCUCAGGGAGCAUUUUAGGCUGAUAAAGAUUAUAAGGACGGGACACCGGGCCUGGAUCAUGGAAAUAUUAAUAACAGCUGCCACGCGAUUGUGUGCCUUCUGAGUACUGGAUGCCAGCUGUACAGUACCUGCUUUAAAGAGUGGGUGUGGGGAUUGUAUGGAAUCUUCCUCUGAAGCACUUGGCGCUGUGCCUGCCACACACUGGUGCUCAGUAAAAGGGUAGCUGCAUUAGUGAUAACUUGGAAAACUGGGCAGAUCCAGAAGAAAGGCCAAGACACAGAUGAGUCAGAGAAAACAAGAAGCAAAACAAUUCAGGCCCACUUACCAUAUGUUACCCUCAUUUUAUGGAUGACACUAAGGCUCAGAGAGGGAAAGUAGUUUGUUCAAAGUUACUCAGCUGCUGCAUUGCAGAGCCUGCACUUAAAUGCUGGUCUGGUUGGCAUCAAAGCUGUGUUCUUUCUUCUAAGCCAUAGUGCCUCUAAAGUGAUCAUUGAACAAAACAAACCACAUAGGACCACAUAAGACAGGUGAGGCAGUGCCACCUGGUGAGGUAGGGAGUUUUUAGAGUUGAGAAAGCUGAGACUAGUGGAACAAGGAACUGGCCAGAGUUAUAUAACCAUGAAGAAGUAGGGUUGAGACCCCCAACUUAGGUGUAUUGGACAUGUCCUCAGGGAUAAAGAUCAUAGUCUGCAGAUACUCAACAUUCAGUCACAGGGGAGAGUUCAGGCUUCCACAUGCUUGGAAGGGCAGACCCCAGACCAGCACUUACAAGUGCCAAUCAGGGAGGGAAAUUUUGUCCCAGUUCAAGGAAGAACAUUCUAAAUUGAAAAACCACUUAGCAGUGCAACUGCAUGUUUUGAGAGCUAGCUCCUCACCUCUGAGCUGCUCACAUAGGCCUGGGUGUUCUAGAAGGAAUUCUUGUAGUGCAGUGGAGUUUGGAAUGGCUGUGAUUGACAGUCUUGCAAUCCACAGGAUCUGGGAUUCUAGUACAGGACUGGUCACAGGUGAUACAAGCAGUGGAUGCCACUAACAUUGCCAGGAGAAAGAGAAGCUGUAGGCUGGGUCUAUCUGGGAAGGCUUCCUGGAGGAGGAGGAAGAGGAGGAACUAGAGCAGGAUCUAAAGGUCUGGGGAAAGGGAGAGGAACAGGACUGGAUAAGGUGAGUGAGUCCUAAGUGGGAGAGCUGGGCUGGAGAGCCAGUACCUCUGAGCAAAGGGCAUCCCUCUGUGCUCUGGGCUUUUUAAAUGGUGGGAACAGGAGCCCAGUGAACCUUGGGUCUUUUCUGAAACCUCAUUAGGAGGCUGGUCUGGCACCACUUCCUCCUCUCACCUCCCAGCUACCCCUCCUCUCUUCAUUGUACCACUCACCUCCUUCCCAGCCUCCCUUUCAGAAGUGGCAGACUUUGGACAUUGAGCUCUCCUGGGAGAAAGGUGUGCCAAAGCCUCUGCACAGAGGCGAAGCCCACGGCAUCUGGCACAGGCCAUCUUCCUCACAUUAGGGCACCUCACGUUAGAGCUGAACUGACUGGGCCUCCUAGGAGCUACUUGCUGCUCAGGGUGAGCACUGGCUUCAGAGUCAGGCCUGGCUUGUGUCCAGUUCUGCCUCAUAUUAGCCUGAGACCUCAGCCAAUGGCCUAACCCCCUGGGCCAUGUUCUCAUCUACCACAGAGGGAUCAAUCAUUCCUGCCUGAAAGGAGAAGGGAUGAUCUGUAAAAGGGCCUGGCACACAGCCCAUGUCCCCAUACGUGGCCUCAAUUGCUUCUCUGCCUCCCAGGUCCCAGCUCUUCUCCGGGUAAACAAUCAGCACUGCUGCACACCAGGGAUGUGUGACUUAGCGCAUCCUCCUACAGCUCUGCGGAGGAAUUAUUAUACAUGGGGAAACUGAGUCACAGGGAAUUUAAGCAACUUGUCCAUUGUAGGAGGCUGAGCUACCAAAUAUCUGAUUCUAGAGCCCACAUCCUCCCCACCCCUUUUCUCCCUUUGCUUUUUCAUUCUCUUUCUCUCCGUAUUUCUAUUUUCUUGGGCCUGCGAAUAUGCUUUCCUCCCUCCUCGGCCUUUAGCUGGGCCCUUAUCAGCGGUAUUACCAGCCCUGGGCCUGACUGGAGUGAGCCAGGCUAAGAGCUAGAGAAGGGCAUUUUGAAACUAUUACAUUUAAAAAGGAUAGGAGUUCCCAUCGUGGCUCAGCAGAUUAAAAAACUGACAUAGUGUCCAUGAAGAUGUGUGUUCAAUCCCUGGCCUCACUCAGGGAGUUAAGGAUCCAGGGUUGCUGCAAGCUGUCGCAGAGGCAGCUCAGAUCUGGUGCUGUCAUGGCUCUGGCAUAGGCCUCAGCUGCACAGGGUUUAGCACACAGUAGGUGCUUAAUAAAUGCCAGUACCUUUCCAUCCACAGUUAGAAGGAAAGAACUUUAUAACCUCUCUAAUUUUCCAAGGAUCCAGUACACCUUCGGUUGGUAGUCAGCUCCCCUCUCCUUGGAAGUAUUCACACUGGGUCUGGGUGACAGCAGAAUAGGAAUGUUUUUCAAAGAAAUGGAGCUUCAAUAGAUGGAUGGUGGGCUUUGAAACCUUCAGAUUCUUUCCUUCCCUGAAUUUCUGUGAUUCUGUGAAGACUUUGACUCAGAUCUCAUUAGUCAAUUAUUGAAGUCUGUUGGGGUUCGGCUUGGAUGUCUGCUUAGCUCAGAUAAAAGACAGAAGUCUGCUGGAGUUGGGAGCUAAUUGAAGGCUUUCUCCCAAGAGUUGGUGAGGCUAGAAACAAAAUUGGGUCCAAAAAGAGUUCUAAUAUAUCCUGUGGCAGGAACCUGACUGGAAUGUUUGGGGCAUGAGGCUAAGUGCUUAGACUGAAUUUGGGGAAGGCUGCACCAUGGCCAAUAGCAUGAACUGCCUAGAGCAGGGCCUGUGUUUGAUUUAUCUCUGAGUCCCCAAGCCAGGCACACAGGAAGUACGCUACACACAUAAUGAGUGAAUGACAAGUAGCCUUGGUGUUUCUUGAAAAUGGAACCCUGAGUUGAGAGACUCUUAGGACUUUCCUAGAGGCCCAGUGGCAGUUCCAUACUCAAUGCAUGUACAUCUGUGUGUCUGUGUCCAUGUAUGUGUGUGCUGGGUUUUCUAGAAAGACUCCUCCUGCCUGCUGCUACUUUUCCUUCUCUUCUUUCCCCUGCCCCUUCCCCUCCUAGCUUUAUUGACAUGUAGUCAACACACAUCAAGCCGUAUACACUUAAGUGUAUAGCUUCAUAAGUUUAGACAUACUAUGUAACCCAUGAACCCAUCACCACAAUUAAAAAACAUAUUCAUCAACCCCCAAAAUUUCCUCUUGUGUCUUUGUAAUUCCUUCCCCUCAUGCCUCUAUCUCUCUUCCCUUCCCCAAGCAACCGUUGACCUGCUUUCGGUCGCUGUCACUUCCUUUGCAUUUUCUAGAAUUUAUAUAAAUGGAAUCAUACAGCAUUUUCUUUUGGGGGCAAAGGGUCUGGCUUCUUUCACUCAACGUAAUCAUUUAGAGAUUCAUGUUGUAUGUACAUCAACAGUUUAUUCCUCUUUAUUGCUGAGUAGUAUUCCAUUGUCUGUAAGGAUAAACCAUGAUUUGUUUCUCCCUUCAUCUGUUGAUGGCCAUGUGGUUUUUUUCCAGUUUUUUUUUUUUUUUUUUUUUUUUUUGGCCUUUUACAAAUAGAGCUGCCAUGAAUGUUUAUGUGUAAGUCUUUGUAUGGAUAUACCUUCCUAUUCUCUAGGGUAAAUACUAGGAGUGAAGUGGAGUGGCUAGGUUAUUUGGUAAAUAUAUAUAUAACUUAAAAAAAAAAAAACCUGCCAAAGUGUUUCCAAAGUGGUUGUACCUUUUUCUAUCCCCAGCAGCAAGUUCCACUUUCUCCACGUCCUCAAUAGCACUUGGUAUGAUCAGCCCUUUUGAUUUUAACCAUUCUAUUAGGUGAAUAGCAGUACCUUCUUAUGGUUUUCAUUUGCAUUUUCCUAAUGACUAAUAACAUUGAGCAUUGUAUAUGCCCCCCAUAUAUCUUCUUUGGUGAAUUAUUCAAAUAUUUUGCUGGCUUUUAAAUAUGUAACCAUUUGGCUGUUGGCCUUAUUAUUGAGUCCUAAGAGUUCUUAUACAGGCUGGAUACAAGUUCUUUGUCAAGUACAUAUGCUUUGCAGACAUUUUCUUCCAAUUUGUGUCUUACCCCUGAGGGCCCUGUGGGGGUUUCAGUCCCAGUAUGCGUGUGCAGCUUUGGGUCAGCAGCUUCCCUCUGCAUGAGUACGUGUGGAUGUGUAUGAGAGAGGCUCAGAGAGAGACUCCAGCCUCUGACUUCAGUCCCUCUCUACUACCACGUAGAAUCACAGGACAGCACCUAGAGGUAGCUUCAUUUUGCAAACAGGGAGCCCGUGUCCUUGAGAUCCCAUGGGAUGUAGCGUCAGAGUCCACACAGACCUCUGAUCUCUACAGGGAGAGGGCCCACGGUGGGCACCUUGAUGCUCUUGAUUCCUGUGACCCUCAGCAAAGCCGAAGAGGUGAUGAUGACACCUUGGGGGGACCGGCUUCCAGCCUUGGAGCUAGGCCACUUUGGAGCUAGGUCUCUCAGAGGCCUCAGUUUCCCUCUUUGUGGGAAUGAAGACACUUAUCACAAGGCCAAAGAGACACAGACCGUAUUGGGUAAUUCUUGGGUUUGAGCUUGAAUUCCUUGCCUUUCACGAGGCAAGGCUAAGUGCCAGUGGUUUUGUCAAGAGAAAACAUAGUUGCUGUGCAUAUGCUAUAGGGGGGAGACUCAACAGACAACUCAACCCUUUAGGAAAGCAGUUUGGCAGCCCAGUCAUGCUUUUUGACCCUAUAAAUCUACUACUGGGGAUCCACGCAGAGGAUGUAAUUCUAAACACAGUAAAAUAAUUACGUACAAAAAUGUCUAUCAUAGCAUUCUUUUUUUUUUUUUUUUGGUCAUGCCUGUAGGAUAUGAAAUUUCCCAAGCCAGGGAUCAAACCCAUGCCCCAGCAGUAACAAUGCUGAAUCCUUAACCCACUGAGCCACCAGGGAACUCCUAUUGUAGCCUUCUUUUUAAGUUUUAUUGAAGUAUAGUUAAUUUACAAGGCUGUGAUAAUUUCUGCCUUACAACAGAGUCACCCAGUCAUACAUAUACACAUAUCCAUUCUCUCCCUCAGAUUCUUUUCCCACAUAGAUUAUCACAGAAUGCUGGGUAGAGUUCUCUGUACUAUAGAGCAGGUCCCUGUUGACUAAUUGUUCCAUAUACCUCAAUGUGCAUAGCAGCAUUCUUUUUAAUAAUGAGAAAAUCUAAAUGUUCACCAGAAGAGAAUGUUAAGGUAACUAUGAUAGACUCAUGAAAUGGAAUAUUAUACAGCCCAUAAAAUACUUUUGUAAAGAACCUGCCAUAUCGUAGGCAAUUAAUAAACCAUGUUAAACUUGUAAAAGAUAAAAGGUGUCUCUACACCAUGGUUUACAACUAUGUAAAAAUAACAACCUCCUCCUCCCAAUUUUUUUUUCUGUGAUUAGAAAAAAACUAGGAGGAGUAUCAAUCAAAUUAAUCAGUGGUUUAUCUUUGAGUAGCAAAAAAUGAAAGUUUUUAAAUUUUUUAAUUUUAUUAUUAUUACUUGCUUUUUAGGGCUGUACCUGCAGCAUAUGGAAAUUCCCAGGCUAGGGGUCGAAUUGGAGCUACAGCUACCGGUCUACACCACAGCCACAGCAACACCAUCUGCAACCGCAUCUGCAACCUUAUACCACAGCUCACAGAAAUACCGGAUCCUUAACCCACUGAGCGAGGCCAGGCAUCAAACCCACAACCUCAUGCAUCCUAAUCAGAUUUGUUAACUGCUGAGCCACAAAGGGAACUCUGGAAGUUUUUUUUUUGUUUUGUUUUGUUUGUUUUUUUGGUUUUUUUUUUUAAGGUGUGUGCUACUUUUGUAGCUAUAAUAACUUUCAUAAAUAGAACUAUAUUUAACAUUUAAAAAUUACCCAGUUGGGAGUUCCCAUCGUGGCUCAGUGGGUUAAGGACCUGACAUAGUGUCCAUGAGGAUUCGGGUUUGAUCUCUGGCCUUUCUUAGUGGGUUAAGGAUUCAGUGUUGCCGCAACCUGCAGCAAAGUUUGCAGGUGUGGCUUGGAUCCAGUGUUGCUGUGGCUGUGGUGUAGGCUGGCAGCUGCAGCUCUGAUUCAACCCCUACCCUGGGAACUUCCAUAUGCUGUGGGUGCAGCCCUGAAAAGGAAAAAAAAAAAA